GCUUUGGUGGUCUAGUGGUCAGAGUGUCCGCCUCGGAUGCGGGACAUCGCGGGUUCGAACACCGGCCGAAUCA